rnacentral:lncRNA from 1 species
ACUGAGAGUGGGGGCACAGAGUGGCUGUUUUAUAACCGGGAUCCUCGGUGACGUAUGGUCGCCUGCUCCUUGGCAGCUGUCUUUAUGGACCAGUAGGCAGAGCGAAAUUGACGCUGACAAGACUUUCGCGUCUUGGAAGGCACUGUAAUCUACUGUAGUGAAGAACAGAGCCUCUCAAUCAGGCGGGUGGAAAUAAGAGAGACAGAGGGGAGUCCAAAAGAAAAGGAAGAGGAGGGGGAAAAGUGUGUGUUGUGGGGAAGCAGGGAAAAGCAUUUUUGGUGGAUGGUAUGAAGCCAGCCAUGGAAACUGCAGCCGAGGAAAAUACUGAACAAAGCCAAGAGAGAAAAGUGAACAGCAGAGCUGAAAUGGAAAUUGGCAGGUACCACUGGAUGUACCCAGGCUCAAAGAACCAUCAGUACCGUCCUGUGCCAACCCUGGGGGACAGGGCUGGCCCCUUGAGCAGUCCAGGU